UACGAAGGGGGCUAGCGUUGCUCGGAAUCACUGGGCGUAAAGCGCACGUAGGCGGAUCUUUAAGUCGGUGGUGAAAUCCUGGAGCUCAACUCCAGAACUGCCUUCGAUACUGAGGAUCUCGAGUCCGGGAGAGGUGAGUGGAACUGCGAGUGUAGAGGUGAAAUUCGUAGAUAUUCGCAAGAACACCAGUGGCGAAGGCGGCUCACUGGCCCGGUACUGACGCUGAGGUGCGAAAGCGUGGGGAGCAAACAGGG
rnacentral:rRNA from 1 species